rnacentral:rRNA from 1 species
CGGGCCCGGAAGGCAGACACCUUAUGAGAAUGCCGCGUGGUGAUGUGCCCUUAGGGUCGUAAAGCUCUUUAACCCGGGAUGAUAAUGACAGUAUCGGGAGAAUAAGCUCCGGCUAACUCCGUGCCAGCAGCCGCGGUAAUACUUCAUGCCAGCAGCCGCGGUAAUAAGGAGCCCGCCCC